UUCAGAGGCAUUUGUGCCAUACAAAGGUGUUAUCAUGCAAAGACGUGUCAUUACUAUAAUUUGCUGCAACAAGCGAUAUACCAGUGGAACUUCAAAAUCCACAUGUCAUCAAGAAACAUCAGAUGUUUGUUUGAAUCCUCAAAACAGUACCCGACUCCGCAGUUUUAAAUUCUUCGAACAACGUGAACUACUUGACAAGCCUGGGUAUUGCAAUGGGUCCCUCUGUUCUCCAAUGUACGUCACUUCCGGUGAAAAAGCCACGAAAAAAAGCCAACUUUGAGGCCAAAAUGAACGAAUGCGUCAUCGAAGAAAGAAUGCGUCAACAGCGCGCCAUAAUUAAGCGCUCGACCGCAUCUGAAGCUUUACCUCCAAAGGUCGCAGAGAGUGUAACAAACGAAAACUGCUCACCGAGAAACAUUCUGCGAAAUGGUGCAACAUUGCUAAAGAAGCAAGAGAUCUUAGGUCUCGCCUACAGAAACAAACAUAUUACGCAGCACGGUUUUUACCCUGGGUGACACAUUGGACGAGACGAGGCAGCUCGUCGUGAAGAGAAGCGUGGCGUCAUAGAAUUUCACGU
rnacentral:misc_RNA from 1 species